rnacentral:rRNA from 1 species
GACGGGGGGUGCAAGCGUUGUUCGGAAUCAUUGGGCGUAAAGCGCGUGCAGGUGGCUUUGCAAGUCAGAUGUGAAAGCCCAGGGCUUAACCCUGGAAGUGCAUUUGAAACUGCUCAGCUUGAGUAUGGAAGAGGGUCGUGGAAUUCCAGGUGUAGUGGUGAAAUACGUAGAUAUCUGGAGGAACACCGGUGGCGAAGGCGGCGACCUGGUCCAAUACUGACACUCAUACGCGAAAGCGUGGGGAUCAAACAGG